GGGCGAAUGGUCUAGGGGUAUGAUUUCUCUUUCGCAUUCCAUGUGCUCUUAGAGAAGGUCCGGGGUUCAAUUCCCCGUUCGUCCA